GAUGAACGCUGGCGGCGUGCUUAACACAUGCAAGUCGAGUGAAGCACUUAAGUUUGAUUCUUCGGAUGAAGACUUUUGUGACUGAGCGGCGGACGGGUGAGUAACGCGUGGGUAACCUGCCUCAUACAGGGGGAUAACAGUUAGAAAUGACUGCUAAUACCGCAUAAGACCACGGUACCGCAUGGUACAGUGGUAAAAACUCCGGUGGUAUGAGAUGGACCCGCGUCUGAUUAGGUAGUUGGUGGGGUAAUGGCCUACCAAGCCGACGAUCAGUAGCCGACCUGAGAGGGUGACCGGCCACAUUGGGACUGAGACACGGCCCAGACUCCUACGGGAGGCAGCAGUGGGGGAUAUUGCACAAUGGAGGAAACUUUGAUGCAGCGACGCCGCGUGAAGGAUGAAGUAUUUCGGUAUGUAAACUUCUAUCAGCAGGGAAGAAAAUGACGGUACCUGACUAAGAAG
rnacentral:rRNA from 1 species